GAGUUUGAUCCUGGCUCAGGACGAACGCUGGCGGCGUGCUUAACACAUGCAAGUCGAACGGUGACGGGGGGCUUGCCCUUCUGAUCAGUGGCGAACGGGUGAGUAACACGUGAGUAACCUGCCCUUCACUCUGGGAUAACGCUGGGAAACCGGUGCUAAUACUGGAUAUGACCUACUCGGGCAUCCGAUGUGGGUGGAAAGAUUUAUUGGUGGAGGAUGGACUCGCGGCCUAUCAGCUUGUUGGUGAGGUAAUGGCUCACCAAGGCGACGACGGGUAGCCGGCCUGAGAGGGCGAUCGGCCACACUGGGACUGAGACACGGCCCAGACUCCUACGGGAGGCAGCAGUGGGGAAUAUUGCACAAUGGGCGAAAGCCUGAUGCAGCGACGCCGCGUGAGGGAUGAAGGCCUUCGGGUUGUAAACCUCUUUCAGCAGGGAAGAAGUGCCUGGGUUUUCUCGGGUGUGACGGUACCUGCAGAAGAAGCACCGGCUAACUACGUGCCAGCAGCCGCGGUAAUACGUAGGGUGCAAGCGUUGUCCGGAAUUAUUGGGCGUAAAGAGCUUGUAGGCGGUUUGUCGCGUCUGCUGUGAAAUUUCGGGGCUCAACCCCGAACUUGCA
rnacentral:rRNA from 1 species